rnacentral:rRNA from 1 species
AACGCGAAGAACCUUACCUACUCUUGACAUCUAUGGAACCUAGCAGAGAUGCUGGGGUGCCUUCGGGAAUCAUAAGACAGGUGCUGCAUGGCUGUCGUCAGCUCGUGUCGUGAGAUGUUGGGUUAAGUCCCGUAACGAGCGCAACCCUUAUCCUUAGUUGCCAGCGAGUAAAGUCGGGAACUCUAGGGAGACUGCCGGUGACAAGCCGGAGGAAGGUGGGGACGACGUCAAGUCAUCAUGGCCCUUACGAGUAGGGCUACACGCGUGUUACAAUGGACGGUACAAAGGGCAGCGAACCUGCGAGGGGGAGCGAAUCUUAUCAAAGCCGUUCGUAGUCCGGAUUGGAGUCUGCAACUCGACUCCAUGAAGUUGGAAUCGCUAGUAAUCGUGGAUCAGAACGCCACGGUGAAUACGUUCCCGGGCCUGUACACACCGCAUAC